UGUGUUCAAAUACACAUGUGUAAGAGUAACACAUCCAAAUCCAGCACAUUACCAGCUUGUUAGCGCCAGUACAUGAAAGUAUAUGUAAGGGUUUUAUUGUAAGUCAAAUAUAAGCCAUCAUGGCUGAGACUACAAACCAUUGAGAUUCAAGCUUGCACCCAUAGCCAAAACUUUAGACCACUGGCUCCCUUUACAUGACAUCAUCAUAUCAUCCGGUCAGGUUCACAAAACCUUAAACAUAAACCAAACACUAAAAAAACUAUAAUU